CCUGGAACUCCCUGAGAUCCACCUGCCUCUGUCUCCCUAUCACCAAGAUUAAAGAAGGAUGCCAUCACACUUGUGAUAUCUAAGUUUUUUGAUGCAGGUGGACUCUUAGAUGAACAAGGAAGGACUGGUGAGCCUAAAGGAUAUGGCUACUGGCUAGUGUCUGCAGGGUUAGCAGUCCAGAGUAGGAUUCUGGAUGGAGAUCUGGGUGACGGGCUUGAGAUUGGACUCAGCAGCAGGCCUUCCUGUGGAGAAAAGCUUUGGUCCCAGGAUAUAUGCGAUUUCUGGAAAGACGGUCUGUCUGCUGACCUGGCCAAGGAUUGACAGCCUCCUGACAAGGAAUUUUCAGCACUUCUCAGGGGAUCCAGCAUGCACUGCUGGCUGGUCUCUGGCAUGAACUCACCCUCAAUGUUCAUGCUGGUACAGGAUCCCAGCCAGGCAAUGUGCUAUUGCCACUCAGGAUAGAGAGCACAUUGUUCAUUUACGAGCAUCAAGAGGAUGCCUGAAGAUUGUUAUCACCUUGAUGUUUCCUCUCUUCGUGUCUCACAGGCCAGCUGGAUGUUAUAAUUUGCCUCUCCCCAUGGUUGUGAAAAUUGAUUCUGACGUCCCUCUGCCUAUCUGGAUGAUCUGCGUCCUUGUUCUUAUUGGUCUCAUAUCCAGACUCCCGGGGACGCUGGCUCAUGUGGAGAGCCACUGGAUCCUUCAGGAUCGAGUACAAUGCCCCCAGUUCAUUCAUUCAUGGUGGCAAUGGUGGUGAUGGCAGCUGGAGCCCAGAAGUGUCACUUCUCCAGCCUGGGCUGCAUGCUGGGGGACUGGGACUGGCUGGGACGGCAGGGGGCCUGGCUCUGUGGGCGGGGGGGGGGCAGGCAUCAGCUCAGGGUGGAGCCCAGCACUGUGGCAUGGGCAGAGUGGCCCACUACAUUGCAACUUGGCCCAGCUUGGCCUUGGUGAUAACACUCCACCCACCCGCCUGCCAAUGCAGAAGUCCCAAAGUCACUCCCUCAGGCCACUGCUCUGUGUUCAUUAACUUUUAAUUUUACCUAAUACGUACAUGUUUCUUUAGUAGUCAAGAUUUAUACAUAACCAGAGGCAAUUAAUAAGUAUGGAUGGGGGCCGGAGAGACAGCUCAGCAGUUAUAAGCACUGGCUCCAUGUCCAGGGCAGCCAUUGCCCUCUUCUGUCCUCCUUGGGCAUUGCACACACAGGUAGAGACUUACAUGCAAGCAAAACACUCAUGCACAUAAAAAAUCUUUAAUAAUUAAGAUGCAACUUUUCUUCUAGCAAACUAAGCCUAUUUUUGAUUUUAUACUUUUCUUUGAUCUUGAUAGCUGAGAAAAUCCAAAUGUUUUUAUUAUUUUCCUUUUGUCUGAACAGCCUCUGUAAUUAUAUACUGUAUCUUGAAA